UGGGGAAUAUUGGACAAUGGGCGCAAGCCUGAUCCAGCCAUGCCGCGUGAGUGAUGAAGGUCUUCGGAUUGUAAAACUCUUUCGCCGGGGAAGAUAAUGACGGUACCCGGAGAAGAAGCUCCGGCUAACUUCGUGCCAGCAGCCGCGGUAAUACGAAGGGAGCUAGCGUUGUUCGGAAUUACUGGGCGUAAAGCGCACGUAGGCGGAUUUUAAGUCAGGGGUGAAAUCCCAAGGCUCAACCUUGGAACUGCCUUUGAUACUGGAAGUCUUGAGAUCGGGAGAGGUGAGUGGAAUUCCUAGUGUAGAGGUGAAAUUCGUAGAUAUUAGGAAGAACACCAGUGGCGAAGGCGGCUCACUGGCCCGAUACUGACGCUGAGGUGCGAAAGCGUGGGGAGCAAACAGGAUUAGAUACCCAAGUAGUCCCUG
rnacentral:rRNA from 1 species